CUCCAAAUUCACGGUCACCUUCCUCGCCUAUCUCUGCCGCCUAGACCUCGCACUGCCGAUUUUGCCGUGGCCACCAACACCAAUUUUAUGUAUCAUUAGUUUUCACAGCAAUACUCAAGACCUCCACAGAACUGAAGUCGACGAGCUUAAGGCGAAACAGAUUGGAGGAAUAGAGUAGGAAUAAUUUUCCUAUACUUGCAGAAAAGAAGAAGAAGCAAAUCAGUGUAGGAACAGAGGGACGGCGGGGUUCGGAUGGGGAAGGGGGCGGCAGUUGGGAAAUUGGGUAAGGGGAUGUGAAGGGUGGUAGUAGUCGAAGGAAAUUUGUGGGGGUUGGGGGCGGCGGCCUGGGG
rnacentral:lncRNA from 1 species